AAAUGAAUAGACGGGGCCCCGCACAAGCGGCGGAGCAUGCGGAUUAAUUCGAUGCAACGCGAAGAACCUUACCUGGGUUUGACAUAUAUCGGAAACGUUCAGAGAUGGGCGCCCCGUAAGGUCGGUAUACAGGUGGUGCAUGGCUGUCGUCAGCUCGUGUCGUGAGAUGUUGGGUUAAGUCCCGCAACGAGCGCAACCCUCGUCCAAUGUUGCCAGCGGGUUAUGCCGGGGACUCAUUGGAGACCGCCGGGGUCAACUCGGAGGAAGGUGGGGAUGACGUCAAGUCAUCAUGCCCCUUAUGUCCAGGGCUUCACGCAUGCUACAAUGGCCGGUACAAAGAGUUGCGAGCCUGUGAGGGUGAGCGAAUCUCAAAAAGCCGGUCUCAGUUCGGAUUGGGGUCUGCAACUCGACCCCAUGAAGUCGGAGUCGCUAGUAAUCGCAGAUCAGCAACGCUGCGGUGAAUACGUUCCCGGGGCUUGUACACACCGCCCGU
rnacentral:rRNA from 1 species